CCUUCGAUAGCUCAGUUGGUAGAGCGGAGGACUGUAGGUCUGUAUAUCUGUAGUGAUCCUUAGGUCGCUGGUUCGAAUCCGGCUCGAAGGA
rnacentral:tRNA from 1 species